UUAGAGUUUGAUCCUGGCUCAGGACGAACGCUGGCGGCGUGCCUAAUACAUGCAAGUAGAACGCUGAAGAGAGGAGCUUGCUCUUCUUGGAUGAGUUGCGAACGGGUGAGUAACGCGUAGGCAACCUGCCUUGUAGCGGGGGAUAACUAUUGGAAACGAUAGCUAAUACCGCAUAACAAUGGAUGACACAUGUCAUUUAUUUGAAAGGGGCAAUUGCUCCACUACAAGAUGGACCUGCGUUGUAUUAGCUAGUAGGUGAGGUAAUGGCUCACCUAGGCGACGAUACAUAGCCGACCUGAGAGGGUGAUCGGCCACACUGGGACUGAGACACGGCCCAGACUCCUACGGGAGGCAGCAGUAGGGAAUCUUCGGCAAUGGGGGCAACCCUGACCGAGCAACGCCGCGUGAGUGAAGAAGGUUUUCGGAUCGUAAAGCUCUGUUGUAAGUCAAGAACGGGUGUGAGAGUGGAAAGUUCACACUGUGACGGUAGCUUACCAGAAAGGGACGGCUAACUACGUGCCAGCAGCCGCGGUAAUACGUAGGUCCCGAGCGUUGUCCGGAUUUAUUGGGCGUAAAGCGAGCGCAGGCGGUUUGAUAAGUCUGAAGUUAAAGGCUGUGGCACAACCAUAGUUCGCUUUGGAAACUGUCAAACUUGAGUGCAGAAGGGGAGAGUGGAAUUCCAUGUGUAGCGGUGAAAUGCGUAGAUAUAUGGAGGAACACCGGUGGCGAAAGCGGCUCUCUGGUCUGUAACUGACGCUGAGGGCUCGAAAGCGUUGGGGAGCGAACAGGAUUAGAUACCCUGGUAGUCCACGCCGUAAACGAUGAGUGCUAGGGGGUUGGAUCCUUUCCGGGGAUUCAGUGCCGAAGCUAACGCAUUAAGCACUCCGCCUGGGGGAGUACGACCGCAAGGUUGAACUCAAAAAGGAAUUUGACGGGGGGCCCGCACAAGCGGUGGAACCAUGGUGGUUUAAUUCGAAGCAACGCGAAGAACCUUACCAGGUCUUGACAUCCCGAUGCUAUUUCUAAGAGAUAGAAAGUUACUU
rnacentral:rRNA from 1 species